rnacentral:rRNA from 1 species
GACGAACGCUGGCGGCGUGCCUACUACAUGCAAGUCGAACGCAGUUGGAACGGGUGAGUAACACGUGGGUAACCUUCCCAUCUGAGGGGAUACCACUUGGAAACAGGUGCUAAACCGAUACUGAUGGAUGGACCCGCGGUGCAUUAGCUAGUUGGUGAGGUAACGGCUCACCAAGGCGACGAUGCAUAGCCGACCUGAGAGGGUGAUCGGCCACACUGGGACUGAGACACGGCCCAGACUCCUACGGGAGGCAGCAGUAGGGAAUCUUCGGCAAUGGACGAAAGUCUGACCGAGCAACGCCGCGUGAGUGAAGAAGGGUUUCGGAUCGUAAAACUCUGUUGUUAGAGAAGCGGUAUCUAACCAGAAAGCCACGGCGAACUACGUGCCAGCAGCCGCGGUAAUUC